CCGGGGUCUUGGAGAAGUUGGGCAUUUCUGUCAGUCGAGGCUAUGGAUGCGAGGCAUGUGUGUGAGUACAGAGACAAGAGGGGCUGUAAACCUCUGGUGCAGCAUGAGAGGUUGAAUAAAUUGUCUGGUGUUAAGACUGAGUCUGACAAAUGUGAGGUGAAGUCUGACUUGAAGAAUAAGUCUCAUUGGUCGCAAUAUUACGGACGACUAAGGCUGAACAACAAUGUGCGCCGUAGCUCAGCCAAGAAAACCACCCACUCAUUACGUAACGCAACUUGAGACGACUUUGGAAAGGCUGGCUGUGGAAAACCACAAUAUUUCACAGCGAGGCUACAAAUGUCGGCAGAGGCCCUGAAAGCUACCGCCUAGGAAGGGCGACGACGCAAAGUUUGACAAGAUCGAUGAAACUCCCUCAUGCAAACAAAACAUCUGUGAUGAUCGCCUGAACACUGAAAGACGUUUCCCUUCUGUCCAGCCUCAUCAAAGCAGCGCUCAGCAGCCUAAUAGCAUCGUGAGAACGCUUAAAUCAAUACCGGAGACCUUUCUUCUGCUGUACAUUAAAGUU